rnacentral:rRNA from 1 species
UACGGGGGGGGUAAGCGUUGUUCGGAAUUACUGGGCGUAAAGGGCUCGUAGGCGGCCAACUAAGUCAGACGUGAAAUCCCUCGGCUUAACCGGGGAACUGCAUCUGAUACUGGAUGGCUUGAGAUUGGGAGAGGGAUGCGGAAUUCCAGGUGUAGCGGUGAAAUGCGUAGAUAUCUGGAGGAACACCGGUGGCGAAGGCGGCAUCCUGGACCAACACUGACGCUGAGGAGCGAAAGCCAGGGGAGCAAACGGG